UACGUAGGGUGCAAGCGUUGUCCGGAAUUAUUGGGCGUAAAGAGCUCGUAGGCGGUCUGUCGCGUCAGCUGUGAAAACCUGGGGCUCAACCCCGGGCCUGCAGCCGAUACGGGCAGACUAGAAUUCGGUAGGGGAGACUGGAAUUCCUGGUGUAGCGGUGAAAUGCGCAGAUAUCAGGAGGAACACCGGUGGCGAAGGCGGGUCUCUGGGCCGAUAUUGACGCUGAGGAGCGAAAGCGUGGGGAGCAAACAGGAUUAGAUACCCUGGUAGUCCACGCCGUAAACGGUGGGCGCUAGGUGUGGGCCUCAUUCCACGAGGUCUGUGCCGCAGCCAACGCAUUAAGCGCCCCGCCUGGGGAGUACGGCCGCAAGGCUAAA
rnacentral:rRNA from 1 species